rnacentral:snRNA from 1 species
AUCGCUUCUCGGCCUUUUGGCUAAGAUCAAGUGUAGUAUCUAUUUCUCUUUGCCUAAAAUAAGUGAUAACACAUAUACUUAGCAUGGGUGUUUUAUUUACAUAUAUCAAGGACCCCAU